rnacentral:rRNA from 1 species
CGGGGUGCAGCAGGCGCGAAAACUUUGCAAUACACGAAAGUGUGACAGGGUUAUCCCGAGUGCCGACCGCUGAGGUUGGCUUUUACCCAGUCUAGAAAGCUGGGGGAAUAAGGAGAGGGCAAGUCUGGUGUCAGCCGCCGCGGUAAUACCAGCUCUCCGAGUGGUGUGGACGUUUAUUGGGCCUAAAGCAUCCGUAGCUGGCUGGACAAGUCCCCUGUUAAACCCACCGAUUUAAUCGUUGGCGUGCGGGGGAUACUGCUCGGCUAGGGGACGAGAGAGGCAGACGGUAUUCCCGGGGUAGGGGUGAAAUCCUAUAAUCCCGAGAAGACCACCAGUGGCGAAGGCUGUCUGCUAGAACGCGCCCGACGGUGAGGGAUGAAAGCUGGGGGAGCGAACCGGAUUAGAUACCCGGGUAGUCCCAGCUGUAAACGAUGCAGACUAGGUGUUUGGACGGCCACGUGCCGUUCUAGUGCCGCAGGGAAGCUGUUAAGUCUGCCGCCUGGGGAGUACGAUCGCAAGAUUGAAACUUAAAGGAAUUGGCGGGGGAGCAC